GACGAACGCUGGCGGCGUGCUUAACACAUGCAAGUCGAACGGAAAGGCCCUGCUUUUGUGGGGUGCUCGAGUGGCGAACGGGUGAGUAACACGUGAGUAACCUGCCCUUGACUUUGGGAUAACUUCAGGAAACUGGGGCUAAUACCGGAUAGGAGCUCGUGCUGCAUGGUGGAGGUUGGAAAGUUUCGGCGGUUGGGGAUGGACUCGCGGCUUAUCAGCUUGUUGGUGGGGUAGUGGCUUACCAAGGCUUUGACGGGUAGCCGGCCUGAGAGGGUGACCGGCCACAUUGGGACUGAGAUACGGCCCAGACUCCUACGGGAGGCAGCAGUGGGGAAUAUUGCACAAUGGGCGGAAGCCUGAUGCAGCAACGCCGCGUGCGGGAUGACGGCCUUCGGGUUGUAAACCGCUUUCGCCUGUGACGAAGCGUGAGUGACGGUAAUGGGUAAAGAAGCACCGGCUAACUACGUG
rnacentral:rRNA from 1 species